AGUCAUGUGAAGUACACGAUUUUUGCACACAUGCGGGUUGUUGAAUAACCAACACCCCUCGAUCUGACGCAAGUCUUGUAGCUAGGCUCCACAUAACGCUGGGUAAAUUGUGCCAUUAAAGUUCUGGCUCUGGCGUUGCUCAACCCCUCUUUCAGCACCCAAAAGUGAUUUUAGUCGGCGUUAAUCGUAAGGACUGCAUUUAAAAGGACCACGAGAGUCCCAAAAGAAAGUGUGCGAUGGCUUCGACUCCCUCCGCUUCUGCCCUGUCAGCUGUUCUCCGGUGUCAGGGGAAUAUCCUCGCCCGAAAACAGGCGAGCAAGAAGCGGCCUCCCGCCUCAGUGUACGGGCUCGGGAUGACAUGUGGAGGAGACUCGGUCAAAUCUUAUUUUCGCUCUCUUUGGGGAUUCAUAUUUCACAGGGAGCGAGUGGAGAUUCCCGGAGUUUUGACCAUUUCAGCGCGAUUUGAAACGGGUUGUUCGGGUAAAUCUUCGAGAGGAAAUAGUGAAUCCAAAGAUCUUCUGGUCAAAAGCUCCCUAAAGACUGACAACAAAAUGUUAACCAUGAAAGUAUCAAGUGAACCAAAUCAACGGCCAAAGACGAAACUGACGUCGGAUAAUACUUUUGCUUUUAAAUCCCAACGUUACAGUGUUUUAUCCAACAACAGCCUGGUUCUUCGACUGGAUGGCACUUAUUUACGAAAACUAAACUCAGAUUAUCCAUGCACUUGCUGUAUUUGUAUAGUUUGCGCUCGGAGUAAGAGCACGCUAAACUACAGUAAUGUGAAUCCAUUGUUUUCUCUUGGCUUUUUGUGGAUUUUAAAAUAUAAACUUAUAUAUUUAUCAACCACAGUGUCAGACAGUGUGCGGAAACUUGGAAUUGGCUGGAACCAGCUUCAUCCGGAUUGUGAUAAGUUUAGUGGAUGUGUCAAAUGUACUUCUGAACAUCACAAGGAUCGACCUAAGACACUGGAAGGAGCUGAACCUGGGGAAUGAGUUGUCUUCUAGAGACUGUGGAUGGCAUGCACUUCACACAAAUGCACUUUCAUAGAUAGAUAGAAUGACUGAUUGAUAGACAGAAAUAUAGAUAUAUGUGAAUGUAUAGAAUGUCAGUAAUUGUAGUCUUAUGUUCUUUCAUGUGCUGUCUUGUUCACUUCAGCUUUAUGGGAUGUAUUGUAUUGUUUUGUACACUGUCUACUUGAUUUUGCACUGUUAUUGCCAGCCAAAUUUUCCCUUUGGAUUAAGAAACUAUUAUUACUAUACAAACUGCUGACCAUCUUCAGCUUUUCUAAUCUGGUAAAAAAAAGUAAGAAUAAGAAUGUUGUUAAGUGAACAGAAAUCUGAUGCUGAAAUAGCUACUGGUUUGACUUUGUUUAUUAUUAAAUAGGCCACAUAAUACUGCUUCAUUAAAAAACAUCAAGAAUGUGUGUUUUUUAUAUUAAUUGUAUAAUCUUACAAAAAAUCUUGAAUCUUGAGAUUUGAAUCUGACUCAAUAAAAUAAAAACUUCCAUUACUUUUUA